GGGAGAAGAGGAAAAUGUGGCAUUUUUAAGCUCAAUAAGAAUAGCAGAUAUUGAUUGUGCUAAGAAAUAUAAAUGUAUCUGUGAGAAGAGAACUGAUUGUGAUUUCACUCCCUGCUUCAAUUGACACAGAAGAAAGGAGGAUUUAUUCCAUUGUGGAAACAGAGAUGAGUCGGAAGAAGAAGAAAAUGCUGUUUUCAAUUAUGAUUUACGAGAUCAGAUGCCAUCUGUCUUCUUGGGGAAGAUUUUGUCUUUGGAAAGCAGUUUCCCAUCUCUUUAAUGGCCCUGAGAAAUUCUUUCUCUUUCCCUGAACCCCUCACAGAGCCAGGUAGAGAACUCUGGUAAAGAGCCUGGGUCUUUUCCUUAUGGAUAGGAUAAAUCAUUUCAAUAGCCUCUGGGUUUGGAAGAUAGCACAAUUAAGAACCAAGAAAUAGUUUUCCUGCUCCCUCCCACCCCUCUUCUGGAUACUUACCUCGCAUUAAAAAAAGAAUUUUUUUUAAAUUUUACUCUAAUUUCAAGCUUAUUGAAUAGUUGAAACAAUAGUACAAGGAACUCUCAUAUAACCUUUACCCAUAGGUAGCAUUUGUUUAUAUUUUGUUCUAGUUGAGCUUUGCAGUUCUCUCCCUCUCCUUUUGAUAUCCAUUUGAUGAUCAGUUGGGGACAUUAUGUCCCUUUGUCUAAAUAUUUUACAAGAACAAGGACUAUGUCUUGCUAAACCAUAGUACAAUGAUCAGAAUCAGGAAAUUUAGCAUUUCUACAGUACUAUGAUUUCAUCUACAAUCCGCAUUCAUAUUUUGUCAACUGUCCCGACAAUGUCAUUUAUAGGUGUUUCUCCUCCAUGUUCACGAUCGUGCAGUACAUUUACUUGUGAUAUUGCUUUACUCUCCUUUAAUCUGGGAUAGUUCUUCAGGAUUUCUUUGUCUUUCUUGACCUUACAUUUUAAAAAUCAACUCUAUUGAGUUAUACUUUCUUGCAAUAAAACACAUCUAUUUUAAAUCCUGAGAUCAAUGGGUUUUUAACACACGUAUACAGCUCUUAGAUACCAUCACAUCAAGACAUAGAACAUUUUCAUCACCUCCAAAAGUUCUUUUAUGCUCCUCCCCACCCACCUGAACCCAGGCAAGCAGUGAUAUGUUUUCUGUCACUAUCAAUUAGUUUUGCCUAUUAUAGAAUUUCAUACAUCGUGUGCUCUUUUGUAUCUGGCUUCUUUCUGCUCAGCAUAUUUUUGAAAUUAAUUCAUGUUCUUUCGUGUAUCAUUAGUUCAUUCUUUUUGUUACUGAGUAGUAUUCCAUUGUAUGGGUAAACCACCAUUUGUUCAUCUACCUAUGGACAUUUGAUGAGUUUCUAAGUUUUGGCUGUUAUGAAUAAAACUGCCAUGAACAUUUAUGUGCAA